UGUUCCCUGGGUUGUUUGCCAGUCGAUAUGUCCUCGACCCUUUAAGCGACACCCAGGAGGCCCUUUAUUUUGGUUGAUGUGCACGCCCGAUUCGUCGGGAAGCCUAAUGCCUGAUAGGGACCACCGCCUUGAACCGCAGGGUUCAAGGGCUUAUCAAACAGCGGCAAUUUGGGGGACUU
rnacentral:other from 1 species